rnacentral:rRNA from 1 species
UUGAACGCUGGCGGAAUGCUUUACACAUGCAAGUCGAACGGCAGCACGGGGGCAACCUUGGUGGCGAGUGGCGAACGGGUGAGUAAUACCUAGGAACAUGUCCAGUAAUGGGGGAUAACGCAGCGAAAGCUGUGCUAAUACCGCAUACGCCCCAUGGGGGAAAGGGGGGGAUCGCAAGACCUCUCGCAGUUGGAGCGGCCGAUGGCGGAUUAGCUAGUUGGUGGGGUAAAGGCCUACCAAGGCGACGAUCCGUAGCUGGUCUGAGAGGACGACCAGCCACACUGGAACUGAGACACGGUCCAGACUCCUACGGGAGGCAGCAGUGGGGAAUUUUGGACAAUGGGGGCAACCCUGAUCCAGCCAUUCCGCGUGAGUGAAGAAGGCCUUCGGGUUGUAAAGCUCUUUCGGCAGGAACGAAACGGUGGAGGCUAAUACCUUUCAUCAAUGACGGUACCUGAAGAAGAAGCACCGGCUAACUACGU